rnacentral:lncRNA from 1 species
UGCAGAUGGAAUGUAACUUUAGAAUUAUUUAGUUGGAAAUGAUUGAGUACAACCACAGGGAUUUAAGUGCAAUAGCUUGAUCUGAUGCAUGACAGUGCCAGGUUAUAAACAAACAAGGUGUCCAUAUGCCAGCUGUCUCCAAUUUGAAGCAUAAAUGAUCAGAGUGCAGAGAUUUUAAACACACUCCAAAAACAAUGAAACAUGAACUAGAAAAUUCCUGACACUUGACCACACACUUGCUCAAAUGCUAUACCAACUUGAAAGACCUUUAAUAAUCAUGUUAAACAGCCAUAGUUCUAAAGGGAAAUCGCCAAGCCUAAUAAAGUGAUGCCAAGGUUUUACCAUACCAACUGUCUUCGUUAACUGAAAAUACAUCCAUGCAUAUGCAGUACAAAUAAACUCUUCUAUAAUGCUUUCAUUUCUUAAUGAUGUUUUAAUCUAAACUAAGGAAAUUAUUCUCUUUCAAAUGAUGUUACAAUGUUAUACAAUAUCAAGAAGGAACAAAACUAAAUCUUCCUAAACUGCACCUACAUUACCUAGUUGAUACAUUGUGAAAGACAAGCAGGCUCAAUCUGUUGGCUCACUGAGGAUGGCCAGCUUCAAAGACAAAUGAAUUUAAUCACAUAGAAAGAGACAAAAGUAGUAGAUGACAGGGUUAGCCUAGUGUUAGCCUAGUUAUCUUUACUUUGCUGUAAGUGUUUAUUUACCUAAUAGGUUCCUUGGCAGCCAAGUUGAAUAUGGUGCCUUGUGAACAAGUUGCUGGUGGACAGCAUCUCUAGUUUGUUAGAGUCUGUCAGGGAUAUGUUGGGGUGCUGUCUGCCCUCUAGGCUAUAUAUGCAGCAGCCCCCUCACCCUUGUAUUGUGUGGUUCUGGUUUUGCAAUUUCAAUACAAUCCAAGCGGCCUCUCUUGGCCAAGCUGCCCUCUGGCAGUUCAAUCCUAUUGUUUGCAAUCCAGUUCAUGCCAACAAUUGGUAUCCAGAGCGAGGUUUAGAGAUCCUAGGGGCCAUGUCUACCUCAAGCCAAGAGCCAGAGUAGCACAAGCUGCAGCCGCCGCCGCCGCGGGCGCCUACUCAGAGGUUGGCGCCGUGGUGAACCCAGGAGGCGAUCGCGCCAGGCGCUUGGCAGUGGCAGAGGCCGCAGCCGCGCAGGCAGCACAGGCGGCGCGAGAGGCAGCAGCAGCAGCUCAGGAGGCGGCCGCCACGGCCGCGGCUCUCCGCGCGGAGGUGGACCGGGAGCCGCGCGUGUACGGGCGGAGGAGCCCUGAUCCGCGCAGCGGGAGCCCGUCGUGGAGCCCUGAGCGGCAUCGCCGGGCUCAAUCUCCGUCGCCCGCUCGCCGUCGAGGACGCGGAGGCCGUCGCGGAUCUCCGGUGGUCCAGACGGUGUACAAGGAUGGCGGCGCGGGGACUCCAUGGCCGAUGCUGACGAAGUCGAACUACCAUGAGUGGAGCACGUUCAUGCGACUCAAGAUGCAGGCCCGCCAGCUCUGGGACGCCGUCGAGUAUGGCGAUCUCCCGUACCACGACGAUCGGCGCGCGCUGGAGGCUAUCAUCGCGGGAGUUCCACAGGAGAUGCAGGUGUCGCUCGCGGACAAGCUCACCGCCAAGGACGCCUGGGACUCCAUCGCCGCAGCGCGCAUCGGCGUCGACCGCGUCCGCCGCGCCACGCUACGACUACGCAAUGAGUGGGAGAACCUCUCCUUCCACCCAGGGGAGCACAUCGAGGACUUCGCUCUCCGCCUCGCCACGCUGAAGCAGCAGAUGAUCCUCCACGGCGAGAGGAACAUGGACGAGGAGCGAGCGGUGGAGAAGCUUCUUCGUGCUAUGCCCAGGAAGUACGCGCAGCUCAAGAUCGCCUUCGAGACCCUGCUCGACUUCCAGGACCUCACCAUCGAGGAAGUAAUCGGGAGGUUGAAGACGGUGGACGACCUCGACGACGAUCCUGCGCACGAGCCCGCGUCCGUCGGCGGCAAGCUUAUGCUCACAGAGGAGCAGUGGCUGGCGCGCCAGAAGGAGGACGCGGGUGGCGCGGGCUCCUCCAGCGGCGAAGCACGUCGACGGCCGUGUGGCGGAAGGAAGCAGAAGGGCAAGACCGCCAAGGGAGGAGAAUGUGAUGGUGGCGGGCAAGGUGCGAAGGCAGGAGGCGCCGGCGGCGACCACAAGGCUAACCGCGACGACCUCUGCCUCAACUGCCGUCGCCCCGGUCACUGGGCAAAGGACUGCCCCGAGCCUCGGCGCGAGCGUGGCGGAGCAGCUCACGUCGCGCAGGCCGAUGACGGCGAGGCGGCCCUCUUCCUCGCCCACGGCUUCAUCGAGCUGGACGCGGACCACGGCUUCUGCUCCAAGGCCGACGUCGACAUCAGCGAGCCCAGAGCACGCGCGUUCCUCAACAACGGCGGCGAAGAUAUGCUCAACGGCUGGUACCUCGACAGCGGCGCCACCCACCACAUGACCGGACGUCGCGAGCUGUUCUCCGACCUCGACACAUCAGUGCGCGGUACGGUGCGGUUCGGCGACGCGUCAAGGGUGGAGAUUCAAGGCGUCGGCUCCAUCGUGUUCCAGGCGAAGAACGGAGAGCAUCGCGUGCUGCAGGGCGUCUACUUCAUCCCGGCGCUGCGCAACUCCAUCAUGAGCCUGGGCCAGCUGGAUGAAGGAGGGUCCAAGGUGGAGAUCAACCAUGGCGUGCUGCGCAUCUGGGAUCCACGUGGGCGUCUUCUGGUCAAGGUGAACCGCGGACCCAGCCACCUCUACGUCCUCCACCUCGACGCCGCGCAGCCGGUCUGCCUCGCCGCAAGGAAGGACGACACCGACUGGCUUUGGCACGAGCGAUUCGGCCACCUCAACUUCGAGGCACUGCACCAGCUCGGCCAGCACUCCAUGGCGCGCGGACUCCCUCUCAUCAAGCAUGCAGAGCAGGUCUGCGAUACGUGCCUCGCCACCAAGCAGCGCCGGCGGCCGUUUCCACAGAAAGCCCAGUACCGCGCCGAGGACCCGCUGGAGCUCGUCCACGCCGAUCUGUGCGGCCCGGUGACGCCAGCAACUCCUGGCGGGCGCCGGUACUUCCUCCUGAUGGUUGAUGAUGCUUCGCGCUUCAUGUGGGUCGCCCUCCUCUCCACCAAGGAUGCUGCAGCAGAUGCUGUGAAGAUGAUCAAGGCAGAAGCAGAGAAGCAGAGCGGACACGCGCUGAAGGUUCUGCGCACCGACAACGGCGGGGAGUUCACCGUCGCCGAGUCCGCGGACUACUGCGCCGGCGAAGGUGUUCGACGCCACUUCAGCGCACCUCACUCGCCGCAGCAGAACGGAGUGGUUGAGCGCCGCAAUCAGACUGUGGUUGCCACCGCCCGUGCGCUGCUGAAGCAGAGGAGGUUGCCGGCCAAGUACUGGGGAGAAGCGGUCGUGACGGCGGUACAUCUGCUCAACCGAUCGCCGACCAAGAGCUUGCUGGGCAAGACCCCGUACGAGGCGCGCGCCGUCGGUGAGCCAUCUCAAGGUCUUCGGCUGCGUCGCCUAUGUCAAGGACUUGGGCCAGUUGUGCAAGCUCGACGACCGCGGGAAGCCGGGCGUCUUCAUCGGCUACGCGGAAGGGGCAAAGUCUUACCGGAUCCUUGAUCCGGCCACGCAGCGGGUCAAGGUAAGCCGUGACGUGGUCUUUGAUGAAGGUCGCGGCUGGGAUUGGUCCACUCCGGGCGCAGGAUGCUCAGCAGCGGCAGGGAGCGAGUUCACCAUGGAGCUCUGGACGCCGGGAGAUCAAGGAGGGGCUCCUGAAGAUUCCUUGUCGGCAAGUCAAGCUCCGAGGGAGUUCAAGCAGAGAGAGCCAACUCCAAUUGGGCCCUCUGCUCGGACACCGUCGCCAUCACCAACGGCGCCACCACGCCCUGCUUCCCCUGCGCCACCAUCGUCGGGCUCUGCUUCGUCUUCGACACCAGCGGCUUCAUCAGGUCCAGCUGAGGACGGUGGCCGCGUGGAGUUCGCCACUCCGCUUGAAGAAGAUGAAGACCGCCUCGACGCCUUCCACGACGAUGAUGAGCCACUGCGAUACCGCACGGUGGGCAACAUCUUGGGCGACGCGCCUACACCGGAGCCUCCCCCGCGCCUCUUCGCCGAGCUCCACCUGACGCACGCCGGAGAACCGGCCAGCUACGCCGAGGCCAAGGAAGACCCUGCCUGGCGAGCGGCAAUGGAGCAGGAGCUUGCGUCGGUGGAACAGAACUCCACCUGGGAGCUGGUCAAUCUCCCUGCCGGUCAUCGCCCCAUUUCUUUGAAGUGGGUGUUCAAGCUCAAGAAGAACGAGCUGGGCGCGGUGAUCAAGCACAAGGCCAGGCUCGUGGCGCGCGGCUUCGUCCAGCAAGAAGGGAUCGACUUCGACGAUGCGUUUGCUCCAGUGGCACGCAUGGAGUCUGUUCGGGUCCUCCUCACGCUGGCGGCUUAAGAAGGGUGGCGUGUCCAUCACAUGGACAUCAAGUCCGCCUUCCUCAAUGGCGACCUCAAGGAGGAGGUGUAUGUGCAGCAGCCGCCAGGCUACACCGUCGUCGGAGAAGAAGGGAAGGUUUACAGGCUGCACAAGGCUCCCUACGGCCUGCGGCAAGCUCCGCGCGCGUGGAACGCAAAGCUGGACGGCACCUUGAAGGCCAUGGGUUUCCAGCAAAGCGCCCACGAAGCGGCGAUGUACAGGCGGGGCAGUGGGCACACUGUCCUGCUUGUCGGCUUCUACGUCGACGAUCUGAUCAUCACCGGCGCCGAAGAAGGUGAAGUGGAGGCGUUCAAGGCUCAGAUGAAGAAGACCUUCGACAUGAGCGACCUCGGCGCACUCAGCUUCUACCUCGGCGUCGAGGUGCACCAGGAUGCCACCGGGAUCACUCUGAGGCAAACUCACUAUGCCAAGAGGAUUCUUGAGUUGGGGGGCAUGGAUGGCUGCAAUCCUGCCAACACUCCGAUGGAGGAGCGUCUUCGACUGAGCAAGAACAGCACAGCUGCUCAGGUCGACCCCACUCACUACCGGCGCCUCAUCGGAAGCCUGCGCUACCUGGUGCAUACUCGCCCUGAUCUGGCCUACGCCGUCGGCUUUGUGAGUCGGUUCAUGGAGCGGCCAACAGUUGAGCAUCAAGGGGCAGUCAAGCGAAUCCUGCGCUAUCUCGCUGGUACACUUGAUUUCGGCCUCCACUACACUAAGGCUCCAGGCGGCACUCGCUUCAUCGGCUACACCGACAGUGAUCUUGCCGGCGACGUUGAUACGAGCAAGAGUACGAGUGGAUCACUCUUCUUCCUUGGCAGCUGCCUGGUCAGUUGGCAUUCCAUCAAGCAGAAGGUGGUGGCUCUCUCAAGCUGUGAAGCUGAAUACAUUGCUGCUUCCACUGCUGCUACUCAAGCAUUGUGGCUGUCACGGCUGCUGGCUGAGCUCCUUGGCAGAGGUGUCGAGGUGGUGGAACUGAAGAUGGACAGCAAAUCAGCACUUGCUCUGGCCAAGAAUCCAGUCUUCCAUGAGAAGAGCAAGCACAUCAGGAUCAAGUAUCAUUUCCUUAGAAGUUGCCUGGAAGAUGGAACCAUCAAGGCUGAGCAUGUGUCUACUACUGAUCAGCUCGCUGACAUUCUGACCAAGUCUCUGGGCAAGGCAAAAUUCCAGGAGAUGAGGGGAAGAAUUGGCUUGAGGCAGAUCAUCCCCAAGGCACACAAGGCUAAGGGGGAGAAUUGACAGGGUUAGCCUAGUGUUAGCCUAGUUAUCUUUACUUUGCUGUAAUUUACUUUGCUGUAAGUGUUUAUUUACCUAAUAGGUUCCUUGGCAGCCAAGUUGAAUAUGGUGCCUUGUGAACCAAGCUGCUGGUGGACAGCAUCUCUAGUUUGUUAGAGUCUGUCAGGGAUAUGUUGGGGUGCUGUCUGCCCUCUAGGCUAUAUAUGCAGCAGCCCCCUCACCCUUGUAUUGUGUGGUUCUGGUUUUGCAAUUUCAAUACAAUCCAAGCGGCCUCUCUUGGCCAAGCUGCCCUCUGGCAGUUCAAUCCUAUUGUUUGCAAUCCAGUUCACGCCAACAUUAGAGGUAUGUAAUUAUAUUAUCUCUCUCUCUCUCUCUAGUAAACAUGAACAAGUAAAGAAUGCCAUUCAGAAGAACAGUGCAAGUAUUUUGUUAUGUAUCAUCCAGCUUACAAAGGAAAGAAAAGACUCAU